CCCCCCCCCCCCCAACGUACUGCUAAGAUUGUCUCUACAUUUUCAGAUUUGUAGGACGAUGUAUUUGAAGUUUAAAAUUAUGAAAUUAUUUUUUUUUUUCUUUAUAUGAACGUACCAACGGGCACUCAGUGUAUUUCUAUUGCGUUUGUUAGCCUAAGCUUCAUACGUCUCAGUCUGAUGUAUGUAUGCCAUACUAGUGCAUAUUAUGUUUGAACAUUUUCUAACAGCAGAUAACUGAUUGAGGAUUUUUUCUUUUUCUAAUUAACAUUGUACUCUAAUGCAAUACGUUUUAAAAAUGUGAUUUUUUUAAAACAAACAUUGGAUAUUGUGGUAUACAUUUAUGUAUUUUUUAAUUUAUCCUUUUUCUUCUCUAAUUUUCUACGUGUAUAUGUUAAUUUCAAAACGAAAUAUAUAAUUCAAACACAAGAACAAGUUUGUUU